AUUGAACGCUAGCGGCAUGCCUUACACAUGCAAGUCGAGUGGAGCGGCGAACGGGUGAGUAAUGCAUAGGAACCUGCCUGGUAGCGGGGGAUAACUACGCGAAAGGGGCGCUAAUACCGCAUACUAUCGGAUGAGCCUAGAUCGGAUUAGCUAGUUGGUGGGGUAAAGGCCUACCAAGGCGACGAUCCUUACCUGGACUGAGAGGAUGAUCAGUCACAGUGGAACGGAGACACGGUCCAGAUUCCUACGGGAGGCAGCAGUGGGGAAUAUUGGACAAUGGGCGAAAGUCUGAGCCAGCCACGCCGCGUGGGUGAAGAAGGUUUUCGGAUUGUAAAGCACUUUAAGUUGGGAGGCGUUACCAACAGAAGAAGCACCGGCUAACUCCGUGCCAGCAGCCGCGGUAAUAC
rnacentral:rRNA from 1 species